rnacentral:rRNA from 1 species
GACAGAGGGGGCAAGCGUUGCUCGGAAUCACUGGGCGUAAAGGGCGCGUAGGCGGCCUGCUAAGUCGGACGUGAAAUCCCUCGGCUCAACCGAGGAACUGCGUCCGAUACUGGUGGGCUUGAAUCCGGGAGAGGGAUGUGGAAUUCCAGGUGUAGCGGUGAAAUGCGUAGAUAUCUGGAGGAACACCGGUGGCGAAGGCGGCAUCCUGGACCGGUAUUGACGCUGAGGCGCGAAAGCUAGGGGAGCAAACGGG